rnacentral:misc_RNA from 1 species
AAUCCUCAAAACCUUUUUCAUUCGACCCUUUGGUCCAGGAAAAGGAUUUUGGACUUGGAGGUUUUAUGCUCGCUUUCACUUUUGAAAAGCAAGCUCCUCUCAAAUGAAUUAGUAGGGUCCGCAUUGCUGAACCUUGACGUGAUAAGAUGCUUCUACGUUUUGGAUUCAACAUUGUCCCCGCUUCUAACCGUCUCAUGGACGACGAUGGUGCUUUGGUCACCGCCACCUUACAUACGUUGGCGGGAGGCUGGACCCACAAAAAC